rnacentral:snRNA from 1 species
AUCCUGAAAUUAUUCCAUCCAAA